rnacentral:rRNA from 1 species
AUUGAACGCUGGCGGCAUGCCUUACACAUGCAAAUCGAACGGUAACGGGCCUUCGGGUGCCGACGAGUGGCGAACGGGUGAGUAAUACAUCGGAACGUGCCCGAUCGUGGGGGAUAACGAGGCGAAAGCUUUGCUAAUACCGCAUACGAUCUACGGAUGAAAGCAGGGGACCGCAAGGCCUUGCGCGGACGGAGCGGCCGAUGGCAGAUCAGGUAGUUGGUGGGAUAAAAGCUUACCAAGCCGACGAUCUGUAGCUGGUCUGAGAGGAUGAUCAGCCACACUGGGACUGAGACACGGCCCAGACUCCUACGGGAGGCAGCAGUGGGGAAUUUUGGACAAUGGGCGCAAGCCUGAUCCAGCCAUGCCGCGUGCAGGAUGAAGGCCUUCGGGUUGUAAACUGAUUUUGUACGGAACGAAAAGCCUUCUUUUAAUACAGGAGGGUCAUGACGGUACCGUAAGAAUAAGCACCGGCUAACUACGUG